rnacentral:rRNA from 1 species
ACCAGACUCCUACGGGAGGCAGCAGUGAGGAAUAUUGGUCAAUGGGCUAAGGCCUGAACCAGCCAAGUCGCGUGAGGGAAGACGGUCCUAUGGAUUGUAAACCUCUUUUGUCGGGGAGCAACGAGGCCACGUGUGGCCGAAGUGAGAGUACCCGAAGAAAAAGCAUCGGCUAACUCCGUGCCAGCAGCCGCGGUAAUACGGAGGAUGCGAGCGUUAUCCGGAUUUAUUGGGUUUAAAGGGUGCGUAGGCGGAACAUUAAGUCAGCGGUAAAAUCGAGGGGCUCAACCCCUUUAAGCCGUUGAAACUGGUGAUCUUGAGUGGGCGAGAAGUAUGCGGAAUGCGUGGUGUAGCGGUGAAAUGCAUAGAUAUCACGCGGAACUCCGAUUGCGAAGGCAAGUGUCCGGGGUGCAACUGACGCUGAGGCUCGAAAGUGCGGGUAUCAAACAGGAUUAGAUACCCUAGUAC